rnacentral:lncRNA from 1 species
AAACUCGUCCACUCCCCAAACUCAAAGAUUGAUGGAAAUAAAAGGCCAAGGGUACCUAUGAUGGCCUCAAUUGAUGAAGGCCCUAGUGAUCAAGCAAAACAAGAAAAAAUAUAGCAAGUUCCACUGAGUUCACGGCCACAAUACAGAGAAGCAUCUACAAUCAAAGGACAACAUCGAAGCCCUGAUCCGAUGUGGCUACCUCAGUAAAUAUGUCUGAGGCUAAGGGGACUAAAGAGCAGAGGAGAGGAAGCAAUGCUAGCCUAAGGAGGAAGCUGAGCUGAAGGACAAUUUCCAAAACAAUGAUGUAUCGAGGAUGUCAUAACCUUCUUGAAUAAUGACCUACAAAGAGUCCAAACUCCUCAUGAUGAUGUUGUUGUAAUAUCCAUG